GGGGUCAUAGCUCAGUUGGUAGAGCGCUUGCUUAGCGAGCUAUCGGGAAUCAAAUCCCGGUACAGAUACUUGCAUGAGGUCUUGGGUUCAAUUCCCAAUGGCUCCA